GGGGAUAUAGCUUANUUGUAGAGCACUUGCCUAGCAUGUAUAAGGCUCUGGGUUUGAUUCCCAGCACCACCA
rnacentral:tRNA from 1 species